ACUUCUCAUCCCCAUCCAGCUUUUGUUGUUAAGCUUGGUUCCUUGGGGCUUGGAUGUGGAGGUUUUGUUGGCCUUUUGCUAGGUCAGCUCCUCUGAAAUGCAUUAGUGGAACUGUUUGCAAUUCCUCACAGGCAUGAUAAUUAUCUAUGCCAUUGGGGUUGCUCUCUGUCUGGUUCAGCUUCUAACUGUCCCACUCUAUGUGGACAACCAUUACUGAAUAU
rnacentral:misc_RNA from 1 species